GUGGGGAAUAUUGGACAAUGGGCGAAAGCCUGAUCCAGCCAUGCCGCGUGUGUGAAGAAGGUCUUCGGAUUGUAAAGCACUUUAAGUUGGGAGGAAGGGCAGUAAGUUAAUACCUUGCUGUUUUGACGUUACCAACAGAAUAAGCACCGGCUAACUUCGUGCCAGCAGCCGCGGUAAUACGAAGGGUGCAAGCGUUAAUCGGAAUUACUGGGCGUAAAGCGCGCGUAGGUGGUUUUGUAAGUUGGAGGUGAAAUCCCCGAGCUCAACCUGGGAACUGCCUCCAAAACUGCAUGACUAGAGUACGGUAGAGGGUAGUGGAAUUUCCUGUGUAGCGGUGAAAUGCGUAGAUAUAGGAAGGAACACCAGUGGCGAAGGCGACUACCUGGACUGAUACUGACACUGAGGUGCGAAAGCGUGGGGAGCAAACAGGAUUAGAUACCCGUGUAGUCC
rnacentral:rRNA from 1 species